rnacentral:lncRNA from 1 species
CUGGUAGAUACAUCUUCAUUAAGAUGUGAGUUUUAUGCUUGUUACUGCAUAUUUUCAAUUAUGAAUUAAAGGCAAGAAUCACCGUCUUCCUGUGAAUACAUUCCCAUAAUUUAAGAAUUCCACUAAGCUACAUUCUGUCUACCAGUUUGUAAGCAAAUGUCUCUACAGACCUUUCAAGUAUUUAUAGUUGGUGCACAGUAACUCGACACUUAUUUUGUAUAAUGUUGCUCAACCGAAUGUGGGAUACUAUAAUUAUAGCAUAAUUAUUCAUAGUUACAGUAAAACUCUAAACCAUUUUAUUUAGAAUAUUUCAGCAGUGAACAGAACCUACAUGAAAGUGUGCCAAAAUAAUUUGUGAUUGUUUACUGAAAUUUAUGAGACUUGUAAUAGGCUCUGUCUGAACACAUAUGAAAAAUGUAGAUAGUGAUAGUUUCUGUAUAUGGGCUGGCUUACAGCUUCCCUACAUUCAUAUUUAUCUAUGAGUUCUGAAAAAUUGGUAAUAGAGUAUGAUUUUUUCAAUUGCAGUAAAAUAUACAUAAUAUAAAAUUUAUCAUUUUAACUAUUUUUAAAUACACAGUUGCAGUGGCAUUAAGUACACCCACACUGUUGUGCAACCAUCCUCCCCAUCCACCUCCAGAACUUUCUCAUCACCCCAAUCAGAAACUUUGUAUCCAUUAUGCACUAACUACCCAUUCUCCGUCCCCACAGGGUGGCUUAUUUCACUUCGCAUAAUGUACUCAAGGUUCAUCCAUGUCACCGCAUAUGUCAGAAUUUCCUUCCUGCGGAAGGCUGGUACUAUUCCACUGCAUGCACAGAACACACUUCCUGCAUCCAUUCAUGGGUGAAUGGGAUGACACUUGGGCUGCUUCUACCUUUUGGCUACUGUAAAUAAUGGUGUUAUAAACACUGGUGUACAAAUAUCUGUUCAAGUCCCUGCUUUCAAUUCUUUUGGGUCUAUAGCCAGAGGUGGAAUCGCUGAAUCAUAGGGUAAUUCUAUGUUGAAUUUUGUGACGAACCUCCAUAGCGUUUUCCAACAGCAGCUGAACCAUUUUACGUUCCCACAAGCAAUGCACAAACUUCCAAUUUAUCCACCUCUAAAUAGCUGAUUUUUAAGAAGAAAAAUUUGAAUUAAAAUCUUGUAAUAUGAUUUCUGGACUUGUUUCUUUUCAUCUCUCUUCUCUUUGUCACUUGCUUUUAUCACAAACCACAGAAUUUAUGAUGCAAGACUUAGUUUGAUUAGAAACCCUAAUUCCAAGAGGUCUGCUGAGGAAGAGAGACAGAGAAAGUUAAAAGUCAUAAAAGUUCAUUCAGAGUGUAUGUUGCUACAAUAAAGAACAACUGGGGGGAGGGGAGUAGUGUCACAUGACAUGGGAUCAGAGGGCAGCUUCCUCCCUGAAAUCUUAACGUCAUGCUACAUUCCUCAGCGUGCAAAGGCAAAUUCAACUCAGAAGCUGAGAAGACAAAAACAAGCUUUGAUAAUAGUCAACUAAAGGAAAGUACAUACAAAAUGAAGAAGGAAAAAUGAGUUUUGUCCUUCAGAUAGAAGCUGAGGAAAAUGUAGAUAAUGUGCACCAACAGUUUCUGUGGCCGCUUCAUGGAGAGGAAACAGGUUCAUCACUGUUCACGAAGUAGCCCAACGUCACACUGCCACCAAGCUGGAA